rnacentral:tRNA from 1 species
CCCUUGAUUGUAUACUGGUUAGCACAUUGCGUUGUUGCCGCAAUAACCCAGGUUCGAAUCCUGGUCACGGCA